UACGAAGGGUGCAAGCGUUACUCGGAAUUACUGGGCGUAAAGCGUGCGUAGGUGGUUGGUUAAGUGAGAUGUGAAAGCCCCGGGCUCAACCUGGGAACUGCAUCUUAUACUGGGCAACUGGAGUACAUGAGAGGGUAGUGGAAUUUCCGGUGUAGCGGUGAAAUGCGUAGAUAUCGGAAGGAACACCAGUGGCGAAGGCGGCUACCUGGCAUGAUACUGACACUGAGGCGCGAGAGCGUGGGGAGCAAACAGG
rnacentral:rRNA from 1 species